UACGGAGGGUGCAAGCGUUAUCCGGAUUCACUGGGUUUAAAGGGUGCGUAGGCGGGUUGGUAAGUCAGUGGUGAAAUCCCCGAGCUUAACUUGGGAACUGCCAUUGAUACUAUCAGUCUUGAAUACCGUGGAGGUCAGUGGAAUAUGUCAUGUAGCGGUGAAAUGCUUAGAUAUGACAUAGAACACCAAUUGCGAAGGCAGCUGGCUACACGAAUAUUGACACUGAGGCACGAAAGCGUGGGGAUCAAACAGG
rnacentral:rRNA from 1 species